AGUGAACGCUGGCGGUAGGCCUAACACAUGCAAGUCGAACGGAAGCACAGUAAGAGCUUGCUCUUACGGGUGGCGAGUGGCGGACGGGUGAGGAAUACAUCGGAAUCUACUUUUUCGUGGGGGAUAACGUAGGGAAACUUACGCUAAUACCGGAUACGACCUACGGGUGAAAGCAGGGGAUCUUCGGACCUUGCGCGAUUGAAUGAGCCGAUGUCGGAUUAGCUAGUUGGCGGGGUAAAGGCCCACCAAGGCGACGAUCCGUAGCUGGUCUGAGAGGAUGGUCAGCCACACUGGAACUGAGACACGGUCCAGACUCCUACGGGAGGCAGCAGUGGGGAAUAUUGGACAAUGGGCGCAAGCCUGAUCCAGCCAUACCGCGUGGGUGAAGAAGGCCUUCGGGUUGUAAAGCCCUUUUGUUGGGAAAGAAAAGCAGCAGGUUAAUACCCCGCUGUUCUGACGGUACCCAAAGAAUAAGCACCGGCUAACUUCGUG
rnacentral:rRNA from 1 species